rnacentral:rRNA from 1 species
GACGAACGCUGGCGGCGUGCUUAACACAUGCAAGUCGAACGGAAAGGCCCUGCUCUUGUGGGGUGCUCGAGUGGCGAACGGGUGAGUAACACGCGAGUAACCUGCCCUUGACUUUGGGAUAACUUCAGGAAACUGGGGCUAAUACCGGAUAGGAGCUCCUGCUGCAUGGUGGGGGUUGGUAAGUUUCGGCGGUUGGGGAUGGACUCGCGGCUUAUCAGCUUGUUGGUGGGGUAGUGGCUUACCAAGGCUUUGACGGGUAGCCGGCCUGAGAGGGUGACCGGCCACAUUGGGACUGAGAUACGGCCCAGACUCCUACGGGAGGCAGCAGUGGAGAGUAUUGCGGAGUGGGCGGAAGCCUGAUGCGGCAACGCCGCGUGCGGGAUGACGGCCUUCGGGUUGUAAACCGCUUUCGCCUGUGACGAAGCGUGAGUGACGGUAAUGGGUAAAGAAGCACCGGCUAACUACGUG